CUACGUGCCAGCAGCCGCGGUAAUACGUAGGUGGCAAGCGUUGUCCGGAAUUAUUGGGCGUAAAGCGCGCGCAGGCGGAUAGAUCAGUCUGUCUUAAAAGUUCGGGGCUUAACCCCGUGAUGGGAUGGAAACUGCCAAUCUAGAGUAUCGGAGAGGAAAGUGGAAUUCCUAGUGUAGCGGUGAAAUGCGUAGAUAUUAGGAAGAACACCAGUGGCGAAGGCGACUUUCUGGACGAAAACUGACGCUGAGGCGCGAAAGCCAGGGGAGCGAACGGGAUUAGAUACCCCGGUAGUCCUGGCCGUAAACGAUGGGUACUAGGUGUAGGAGGUAUCGACCCCUUCUGUGCCGGAGUUAACGCAAUAAGUACCCCGCCUGGGGAGUACGACCGCAAGGUUGAAACUCAAAGGAAUUGACGGGGGCCCGCACAAGCGGUGGAGUAUGUGGUUUAAUUCGACGCAACGCGAAGAACCUUACCAGGUCUUGACAU
rnacentral:rRNA from 1 species